rnacentral:tRNA from 1 species
ACUAUUUUGGCAGAUAAGUGCAAUGGAUUUAGAAUCUAUAAAUGUGGAUUUAUAAUCUACAAUUAGUA